CCGCGUAAUUCCAGCUCCAAUAGCGUAUAUUAAAGUUGUUGCAGUUAAAAAGCUCGUAGUUGAAUUUCGGGAUUGGCGCAUCGGUCGUGCCUCACGGGGUAUGAACUGGUGCAGUCAAUUUCUCACCUUCUGGAGAACCGCGAUGUCCUUAAUUGGAUGCCGCGGGGAACCAGGACCUUUACUUUGAAAAAAUUAGAGUGUUUAAAGCAGGCAUUUUUGCUUGAAUACAUUAGCAUGGAAUAAUAAAAUAGGACGGCAUGGUUCUAUUUUGUUGGUUUCUAGGACCACCGUAAUGAUUAAUAGGGAUAGUUGGGGGCAUUAGUAUUCAAUUGUCAGAGGUGAAAUUCUUGGAGUUAUUGAAGACUAACUACUGCGAAAGCAUUUGCCAAGGAUGUUUUCAUUAAUCAAGAACGAAAGUUAGGGGAUCGAAGACGAUCAGAUACCGUCGUAGUCUUAACCAUAAACUAUGCCGACUAGGAAUCAGACGAUGUUAAUUUUUUAAUGACUCGUUUGGCACCUUACG
rnacentral:misc_RNA from 1 species